rnacentral:rRNA from 1 species
AUUGAACGCUGGCGGCAUGCUUUACACAUGCAAGUCGAACGGUAACAGGCCGCAAGGUGCUGACGAGUGGCGAACGGGUGAGUAAUGCAUCGGAACGUGCCCAGUCGUGGGGGAUAACGCAGCGAAAGCUGUGCUAAUACCGCAUACGAUCUGUGGAUGAAAGCGGGGGACCUUCGGGCCUCGCGCGAUUGGAGCGGCCGAUGUCAGAUUAGGUAGUUGGUGGGGUAAAGGCUCACCAAGCCGACGAUCUGUAGCUGGUCUGAGAGGACGACCAGCCACACUGGGACUGAGACACGGCCCAGACUCCUACGGGAGGCAGCAGUGGGGAAUUUUGGACAAUGGGCGCAAGCCUGAUCCAGCAAUGCCGCGUGCAGGAAGAAGGCCUUCGGGCUGUAAACUGCUUUUGUACGGAGCGAAAAGGCUCCCUCUAAUACAGGGGGCUCAUGACGGUACCGUAAGAAUAAGCACCGGCUAACUACGUGCCAGCAGCCGCCGUAAAAC